rnacentral:lncRNA from 1 species
GCCUGCGCGGUAGUGGGACCCGACCCUGUCUCCAGUGGGCGUCUUGGGCCCCGGCUCUAUUCUGGGCUGCGGGCCUGGGAAGGGCUCGCCGGGUGCCAAAUGAGCUGUCCUAACUCUGCGGGGCUGCAGCUUCCUGCAUGAUGCUGGGGAGCUUGGCGCCUGACCCAGGAUCUAGAAGGCACUCUGGGCAGGCCGCGCUCCGCCCACGAAGGUACCCAACCCUCUGGGAUAGAUGCAGGAAGCGAUGGUUAAGACCCAUUUUCACCCAACUUCUCGCCGCAGGUCUGGCUUACCACACGCUCCUCCCCAUUCCCAGUGAGCCGCUUUUUGCAGCACCAGGCGAACACUUACACCAGUGCUUUGUAAAGGAAUCUUAUUGUCCACCCCGUGUCUUGGCAAAAGAACAGUGAUCACACAGAUUCCUACUUGGGCUCUUUCCUUUAAUCUUCGGAGGCUGAGUUUGCCCAACUCAGGUUUAACCACCAAGGACUCUGAGAGCUGGCAGGUCUGAGUAACCCUGGUAACAAUUCUCUUCACCUUAUCAAAACCUGAGCUAAAACCAAUACAUCAGCUGAUGAUGACAGCAGAGAGUGGCAGGGCUGAGGACCCAAAGUCAUUUCCCAGGCUGGCGGAGAAUAAACUGCCAGGGAGAAGAAUGAGAAGACAGGAGACAAACUGUUUGGAAAGCUAAAUCUUCCCUCUUAAUGAAUAAAGGUUUUUGCCUUGUCUUAAAGUUUCUGAGUCCUAAUUUUGGCAAAGUAAAUAACUUAUGGUAAUCUGG